rnacentral:rRNA from 1 species
UGGGGAAUUUUGGACAAUGGGCGAAAGCCUGAUCCAGCAAUGCCGCGUGUGUGAAGAAGGCCUUCGGGUUGUAAAGCACUUUUGUCCGGAAAGAAAUCCUUGGCUCUAAUACAGUCGGGGGAUGACGGUACCGGAAGAAUAAGCACCGGCUAACUACGUGCCAGCAGCCGCGGUAAUACGUAGGGUGCAAGCGUUAAUCGGAAUUACUGGGCGUAAAGCGUGCGCAGGCGGUUUGCUAAGACCGAUGUGAAAUCCCCGGGCUCAACCUGGGAACUGCAUUGGUGACUGGCAGGCUAGAGUAUGGCAGAGGGGGGUAGAAUUCCACGUGUAGCAGUGAAAUGCGUAGAGAUGUGGAGGAAUACCGAUGGCGAAGGCAGCCCCCUGGGCCAAAUACUGACGCUCAUGCACGAAAGCGUGGGGAGCAAACAGGAUUAGAUACCCUGGUAGUCCACGCCCUAAACGAUGUCAACUAGUUGUUGGGGAUUCAUUUCCUUAGUAACGUAGCUAACGCGUGAAGUUGACCGCCUGGGGAGUACGGUCGCAAGAUUAAAACUC